AGCAAACAUAAGCCUUGUUUUAAAAAGGAUAUGUGCAACUUUGAUGUUUUUUCAUGUUUUGAUAAUAAAAACUAGUUUGAGGUUAAAUUGAAUGUGUUAAGUAUAAAAUCUCAGUUCUUAAAAAACAAGACUACUGCAUGACCUUGAAAGUCCAGAUUAACUGAAUUGUUGGCCAGACAGAUCAGAAAGUAUUUCAAAUAGCAUAAAAUAGCCUAAUUGUGGCACUUCUAGUUUUUUACUUAUAUCUAAAUAAUUUGAAACCACUUUUGGGUUAUUUGUACACAUACUUUAGAGAUAAGAAGGUCCAUUAUCUUCUAUAUGCUGGUGAUAUUUUAUUAUGAUGAAUAAUAUUGUGAUGAAUAUAGUUGAUCUUAUUGCUUACUGUUUAUCAGAAAGAAUGAAUUAAGACCUGUUCCAAAACUAAAACUAUUAACAUGUCCUUGGAUUUAAUUGACUCAGAUCCAAUAACUAAAACCCAGGUUAAGUUCUUUACUUAAUGGUAUGUUUUGCAAGUAAUUCUUCAGGUAGAUUUACUGGCAGUUGUUUUGAUAAAAGCCAUAUAUUUCAGGACAGCACUAUUCAGGUUUUUCUAUAGUCGGAAUGAGAAACUAAAAAUUUCUUCUUUGAAAAUAUUUUAGUGCACAUUCUCAUCAUUCUUCAACAGGGCAUUUGAAUGUCCAGCAGCCCAGGCCGGUGGGCAAGUGCUCUGUACUCAUUGUUGCUGUGUCAUAUAAUAAUAGAAGCUUCCAGCUGCUGCAGUUGUAACUCAGUGGUAGAGCACUUGCCUAACACAUGUGAGGCACUGGGUUAAAUACCACAUAAAAAUAAAUAAAAUAAAGGUAUUGUGUCCAUCUGCAACUAAAAGAAGAAGGAGAAAGAGAGGAAGAAGAGGAGGAGGAGGAAGCACCCAUGGAUGCCAGACUUGAAAUCAGUUGAUCUCUAAAUAUUGGUAACUUAUGUAAACUUGAAAAAAGAAAAAAAAAAGUUUGAGUUUGCAGGCUUACUGCUUUAUGGAUUAGAACUUAAUGGUCUUCAACAUUUGCUUUAUUCUUAUUUGCAAAAAGAGUUGAUUUUAAAGGAAAAUCCUGGAUUACCUGGGAGAGGAGGAGCUCCCUCUAUCUUCUACCAUAUGUUCCUAUUAAGAGGACAGUCUUAAUGAGGUGACUCACUCUUCACAAAAGGCAGUGAACACCCUACCAUCUGCUGAUCUCAUUACUGAAGUCUGAGCAAUAUGUAUCUGCCUUCAGCCACACAAUAGGAACCAGUCCAUCAGAAAACUGCAUACUUAGCCAUAUUGUCCUGAGUUCACAUAUUCAGAAACCUUCUCAUCCCCUUUCUAGAGUGUUCUGUUGACUUGUUUGAGUCUUGGCUUCUUCUGCUUAUAUUAAGAAAUUGUAGAAGGAAGGAACAGUUUCACAAAACCCACUAGUACCUUUCCUGUAAAGGUGUUUCUCUGCACUUGAUCACUUUAUGUUGCUUAUCAGAAAUGCCACAAGAGAAUUUUUUUUCAGAGCCAAGUAUUAUGAAAUGCCUGGUUAUCCUUGUGUAACUGAUGUAUAUUCCUUACAGACAAGUGAAUGUGUAACUGAAUUUGUUUCCCUUUUCACCUUGGCUACCACAAAACUCUGACCUAAAUUUGUAGCUCAACUUCAGUUCCUGGGUAGAACCUGUGCCUACAUAUCUGCAUUCUAAUCUGUUCCCUGGUCUGAAUUUUCUGUUUAAAUUUGGGGUAUCUCUUGCUCUGAUUUAUCUAUUAUUUUAAAAUUCUGUGUGAAAUUGCACUGGUCAUCUCAAAUUAUAGAAAAAGCUGGGGAAUGAAUGGUAAAUAUGCCUAUAACUUUCUUAUGCCUAAUUGUUUGCCCUCCGUUCAGGCAGGAGUUAAACACUCUUCCAUGCUGACAAAAAUGUUUCUUUAUGAGUUCUCCAGGGUUUAUAAGAGAUAAAUAAGAGAACAAUGAAUUACUUUCAAAGGAUUCUUAAUGUUAUUGCAACUCUGAAGAAUGUCAUUCUUUAACUUUGAUAUUUUUCCCCCUUUGGAGGAAGAUGGAUGGGUGAAAUAAUGAUUGACAAGCUUAAGUUGGAAACUUCAGGUCCCAAGUUCUUUAAUCAUAUAAUUUUCUCAGUUCUUUCAAUAUUCUCUUCUGGUAGGCCUGGAUUUAAAGAAUUAGCCUCUGUAUAAUUUAAGUCAUAUUCUUUGUUUUAACCUCCUUUCUACCUCACAUAUUAGUGAUCCCAUUGUAUUUGCUAGUAUAUGUCCACAUAUACACUUUAUUUUUUUUUCACAUACACACUUUAACUGAAGGUACAUGGAAGGGCUAAAGGCAGUGUUCAUUGUUGUCUUAAUACAUCUUUUAUAUUUGGGUAUCUGAUGGCUGAAAGUUAAUUGAAUGUGAUGACCAUUUUUACACAUCAUCAUCAUAUGCCAAUCUAUGAUUUAUUAUUUUAAUUCUGUUGUUACUUGAGAAAAAGACAAUAAAGCUGCUUUGUAAAUGUAAGGUAAACAUUAAAAUAUUUCACAAUUUCCUGUAAUCCUGUUUGGGCAUUUCUUCAUUUUUUUUUCCUUUUUUUUAAUAUUUUUUAGUUUUAGGUGAACACAAUAUCUUUAUUUUAUUUUUAUGUGGUGCUGAGAAACAAACCCAGUGCCUCACACAUGCUAGGUGAGUGCGCUACCACUUGAGCCACAUCCCCAGCCCCCAUUUCUUCAUUUCGUGAUAUGCCAAGAACGUAAAAAAAUGGAAAUAGCCUAC
rnacentral:lncRNA from 1 species